UAGCAUAUCAAUAAGCGGAGGAAAAGAAACCAACAGGGAUUGCCUCAGUAACGGCGAGUGAAGCGGCAACAGCUCAAAUUUGAAAUCUGGCCCCAGGCCCGAGUUGUAAUUUGCAGAGGAUGCUUCCGGUGCGGCGCCGUCCAAGUCCCCUGGAACGGGGUGCCACAGAGGGUGAGAGCCCCGUCGGGUCGGCCGCCAAGCCUAUGUGAAGCUCCUUCGACGAGUCGAGUAGUUUGGGAAUGCUGCUCUAAAUGGGAGGUAGACCCCUUCUAAAGCUAAAUACCGGCCAGAGACCGAUAGCGCACAAGUAGAGUGAUCGAAAGAUGAAAAGCACUUUGAAAAGAGGGUUAAACAGUACGUGAAAUUGUUGAAAGGGAAGCGCUUGUGACCAGACUUGCGCCGGGCGUUCAGCGGGCGUUCUCGCCCGUGCACUCGCCCCGGCGCAGGCCAGCGUCGGUUCGGAUGGGUGGACAAAGGUGCUAGGAACGUGGCUCCCUCGGGAGUGUUAUAGCCUGGCGCGUCAUGCCCCCGUCCGGACCGAGGUUCGCGCUCUGCAAGGACGCUGGCGUAAUNNNNNNNNNNNNNNNNNNNNNNNNNNNNNNNNNNNNNGAGUGUGAGGUUUUGUGCGAGUGUCUGGGUGUCNAACCCGCACGCGUAAUGAAAGUGAACGCAGGUGGGAGCUUCGGCGCACCACCGACCGAUCCUGAAGUUUUCGGAUGGAUUUGAGUAAGAGCAUAGGGCCUCGGACCCGAAAGAUGGUGAACUAUACUUGGAUAGGGUGAAGCCAGAGGAAACUCUGGUGGAGGCUCGCAGCGGUUCUGACGUGCAAAUCGAUCGUCAAAUCUGAGUAUGGGGGCGAAAGACUAAUCGAACCAUCUAGUAGCUGGUUACCGCCGAAGUUUCCCUCAGGAUAGCAGUGUUGGUCUCAGUUUUAUGAGGUAAAGCGAAUGAUUAGGGACUCGGGGGCGCNUUUAGCCUUCAUCCAUUCUCNNANCUUUNAAUAUGUAANAAGCCCUUGUUGCUUAGUUGAACGUGGGCCUUCGAAUGCAGCAACACUAGUGGGCCAUUUUUGGUAAGCAGAACUGGCGAUGUGGGAUGAACCAUACGGGGGGUUAAGGUGCCGGAGUGGACGCUCAUCAGACACCACAAAAGGCGUUAGCACAUCUUGACAGCAGGACGGUGGCCAUGGAAGUCGGAAUCCGCUAAGGACUGUGUAACAACUCACCUGCCGAAUGUGCUAGCCCUGAAAAUGGAUGGCGCUCAAGCGUCCCACCCAUACCCCCCCCUCAGGGUAGAAACGAUGCCCUGAGGAGUAGGCGGCCGCAGCGCUGAGUGACGAAGGCUAGGGCG
rnacentral:rRNA from 1 species